rnacentral:misc_RNA from 1 species
GACAGUUGUAAUAACACAAAAUAAGGAAUCAAUAGCGUCCAGACCUUCAACUACAAAUAAGAAUAUGGCUCCAAUUAUCAUAAGCACUGAAAGAAUGGCCAUGGCCAAAAGGCACUUGAACAUAGGUCUGUUGAAUUCUGUCUCCUCCGUGAUUUUAGAUGGAUCAUUCUCUUGCUGCUUAUUUAGAGCUUUAACCAGCAUUAUUUCCUGCUUCUCUACCAAGUAGUCUGCAACUUUUUUCAUUAUUAAUGCCACAAGUGCCAUCCCUGUGAAGACAAAAACAAAGACAAGUAUCUUUGCAAAGCUAGUAUUAGGCU